AGAGAUGUGUGAUGACGCAUAUCAAUAAGCGGAGGAAAAGAAACUAACAAGGAUUCCCUUAGUAACGGCGAGUGAAGCGGGAAGAGCUCAAAUUUGAAAUCUUCAAGGUUCUACCUUGACGAAUUGUAGUUUAUAGAAGUGUUUUCUGUUAGUAGAGUGGCAAAAGUUCUUUGGAAUAGGACAUCAUAGAGGGUGAGAAUCCCGUAUUUGGUCAUUCUUUCUAGCUUUGUGAUACACUUUCAACGAGUCGGAUUGUUUGGGAAUGCAGUCCAAAAUGGGUGGUAAAUUUCAUCUAAAGCUAAAUAUUGGCGAGAGACCGAUAGCGAACAAGUACCGUGAGGGAAAGAUGAAAAGAACUUUGAAAAGAGAGUUAAACAGUACGUGAAAUUGUCAAAAGGGAAGCGUUUGACACCAGUGUUGUUUUUCCGAAAAUCAAUUACGAAUGUUUUGUUUUUGAGAAGUUAUGACUUCAUCGGCUUGCUUCUCUCUUUAUGAAACUUUCUUAAUGCACUUUUCGGUUAACAAGUCAACAUCAAUUUCUUUUGUUGUAAAAGGGUAUGAGGAAGGUGGCUUUCUUUUCGGAGAAAGUGUUUAUAGCCUUGUACCUCUGCAAUCGGAGAGAUUGAGGUCUGCAGCGUAGAUCCUUCGGGGUUAGAUACAUUUGUGCUAAGUUAUAGCUUUUCAUAGACAACUUGUUGACUAUGUUAAGUCUUGUAGCUUACUCGCUUAUGCUAUUUUACCUACGCUUAGGAUGUUGAUCUGUAGUGCGUGCGC
rnacentral:rRNA from 1 species